CCUACGGGAGGCAGCAGUGGGGAAUAUUGGGCAAUGGGCGCAAGCCUGACCCAGCGACGCCGCGUGAGGGAAGACUGUCCUCGGAUUGUAAACCUCUUUCAGCAGGGAAGAAAAAAGUACGGUACCUGCAAAAGAAGCCACGGCUUACUACGAGCGAUCAGCCGCGGUAAUGCGGGGGGGGCAAGCGUUAUCCGGGUUUACUGGGUGUAAAGGGUUUGUAGGCGUGUUGGCAAGUCAGAUGUGAAAAUUAUGGGCUCAACCCAAAAACUGCGUCAGAAACUAGAGAUCUUGAGAGUGGGAGAGGUAAGCGGAAUUCCCGGUGUAGCGGUGAAAUGCGUAGAUAUCAGGAGGAACACCGGUGGCGAAGGCGGUUCACUGGACCACAACUGACGCUGAGGCACGAAAGCGUGGGGAGCAAACAGGAUUAGAUACCCUAGUAGUC
rnacentral:rRNA from 1 species